UACGGGGGGGGCAAGCGUUGUCCGGAAUCAUUGGGCGUAAAGCGCGCGUAGGUGGCCUCGUAAGUCCGCUGUGAAAGUCAAAGGCUCAACCUUUGAAAGCCGGUGGAUACUGUGAGGCUAGAGUACGGAAGAGGCGAGUGGAAUUCCUGGUGUAGCGGUGGAAUGCGCAGAUAUCAGGAGGAACACCAAUAGCGAAGGCAGCUCGCUGGGACGUUACUGACACUGAGGCGCGAAAGCGUGGGGAGCGAACAGG
rnacentral:rRNA from 1 species